GGGACAUGGAGGUCUCACUGUCACCCCAGAGAUUCCAGAGCCAUCAUUUCACCUUAGAGAAGUUGGGAUAGGGAGGCAUUGCUGUCACUCCAGAGGCACCAGUUCACCUUGGAGAAGUUGGGCUAGGGAGGCAUUGCUGUCACUCCAGAGAUUCCAGAGGCACCCUGGAGAAGGUGGGAUAUGGAGGUGUCACUGUCACGUGUCACCACGGAGAGGUGGCCCAUCCUAAAGGCCGUGUGGCACCAGCUGGCACUGGGAGCCAUCCUGGGAGGUGUGGCCCGAGCUGGUGGGAUGUGCUGGGCUCUCCUGGAGGAGAUCCUGGAGAAUAUCCUGGGGAAUGUUGGGUGUUCUCUCGUGCCCCGUGCGAUUUGACAGCACCAAACCUUCUUGGGUUGUGCUGGGAAGCAACGGGAUCCAGCGCUGGGAAAAGCAGGCCAAGGAAUUCCAACAGAUGAGGCCACAGGAGACAUGGGAAUGCCGAGGGGAAGGAGUGACACUCGUGGGACCUCGGGGUGGCACGGAGGGAGCUGUCCCCUCCUGCCAUGGGGUCAGAGCUGGGUCCCCACCUGGGGCUCUGGGAACACCUGGUAGAACCACACCUGACACCUCUGGAGCUUGGAGGGUCUCCAUCCCUCCAUCCCAAUGCAUCCACGAGUCCCUGCAUCCCAGCCCUGCCCCUGGAUCCGCUCCCAGCUCUGCCUCCAGGUGUUCCUGGAGUCACAGGGGCUCCUUCCUGCUUUCAGGAAUUUGGGGGCUCCGUCCUUGUGUGGGUGUUCCCAAAGCACUGCUGGCCCUCAGGAGCUGCUCCUGCUGGGAUGUGGGGACAGGGACGUUCCUGUGGGAGCCACCCUGAAUGCAGCUGUGGCCCUCUGGGCUGGGAUUCUGGGAAUUCUCACUGCCCAGAGGGUUCAGGAGACUGAAAUCCCAGGGCAGUGGGAUCCCAGCAUGGGUAAGUGGGGAAAUAUUUCCCAGGAUUUCCCUCACAAUUCCCCGAAAAUCUCUGUAAAUGCACUGGGUCAUUAAAAAUGCUGGUAUUUUCUGUA